rnacentral:rRNA from 1 species
CAGCAGCCGCGGUAAUACGUAGGUGGCGAGCGUUGUCCGGAAUCAUUGGGCGUAAAGGGAGCGCAGGCGGGCAUGUAAGUCUUUCUUAAAAGUUCGGGGCUCAACCCCGUGAUGGGAAAGAAACUACAUGUCUUGAGUACAGGAGAGGAAAGCGGAAUUCCCAGUGUAGCGGUGAAAUGCGUAGAUAUUGGGAGGAACACCAGUGGCGAAGGCGGCUUUCUGGACUGCAACUGACGCUGAGGCUCGAAAGCCAGGGGAGCGAACGGGAUUAGAUACCCCUGUAGUCCCUGUCUCUUAUACA